CAGACAGCCUGAGCAGGAGGUGGUGAGGGGUGGGGGCGGUGUUGAGGGCUGGCUUACAGGAAAGACUGUAUCGUGAAAUGUUUGCUCAUGACACAGAACAAAACAGAAGCAGAGAAUGUUGCUUUUCUGCCUCUCACCUUCCAUUUUUCUGCAAAUGCUUCGCCUUGGCAGAACCUAAUUGGAAGACAGCUGGCAAAGGAUCCGGAAAACGCAGGUUCGCAGUGCAGUGCAGAGUAAAGCGCCGGGGAUGGCAGUGGGGGAGAAAGCAAUUAGGCUAAUGGUCGGCACAGAUAUUCUGUAACACCUCAGCCGUUAGAGCCUUCCGCCACCCGCAGCAUCACCACCUUCAAAAAGCCUGGCAAGAGGAGACAGUAAAGGCAGCGUUUGGUAUUUGGUUCAGAGGCCUGUGUUUUUCAGACCACUGAAAACAGACUCUCCCCCCAGAAAAAGCUGCUAUCUCUUCUUCCCUCUCCCCAGGCAAUGUCUCUGCAAUACCAAAAUGUAAUGUUUGCUAACGUGGAUAUCGACGAUUCUCGGGAGUUGGCCAAAACUUGUCACAUCAGAGUAAUACCUACAUUUCAGAUGUUCAAGCAAGCCAAAAAGGUAAACCUAUUCUCAAGAAUCCAAAGAGCAAUUUGCUGCUAUAGAAGUGGAUUCCUGGGCAAGCCG